UCUGUAACAAGCAAGAUGUCCGACAAAUACGAUCAUCAAAAGGAUGAAGAAAUCAGGGAUGGGGACUCAAGGGAUGAAGAGUGGGGAACUGGUGGAAGCAGUGGUGUGGAACAAUGAUAAUAAGGAUUAUGAUGGCCCAGCCGGUAUGGAUGUUGAUGGAAUCAUCGAGUCCACAUGGACAGAGGUUGCUACAAGCUUUGAUGACAUGAACCUCAAUGAAUCCCUACUUAGAGGUAUCUAUGCCUAUGGUUUGAGAAACCUUCAGCCAUCCAGCAACGUGCCAUUAUGCCUUGUAUCAAGGGCCACGAUGCCAUUGCCCAGGCUCAGUCUGGUACUGGCAAAACUGCUACUUUCUCCAUUGCAAUCCUUCAGAGGAUUGACUCCAAAUCCCAAGAAACCCAGGCUCUCAUCCUGGCCCCUACCCGAGAAUUGGCCCAGCAGGUAAGCAUGGAACUAAAAGGUGUGCUUGCUCUUGGCGACUACAUGAAUGUAUCUUGCCAUGCCUGUAUUGGUGGCACAAAUCUCCGUGAGGACAUGCGUCGCCUUGAGAUGGGUGUACAGAUCAUUGUAGGUACCCCUGGCCGAGUGUAUGACAUGAUCAAUCGCCGAGUCUUAGAGCCGAAGGACAUCAAGAUGUUCGUUCUUGAUGAGGCUGAUGAGAUGUUGUCACGUGGUUUCAAGGACCAGAUCUACGAUGUCUUCCGGUUCCUCCCCCACGAUGUGCAGGUUGUGUUGCUCUCUGCUACCAUGCCUGCUGAUGUCAUGGAUGUAACCACCAAGUUCAUGCGAAAGCCAAUCACCAUCUUGGUCAAGAAGGAGGAGCUGACCCUUGAAGGUAUCAAGCAGUUCUAUGUGAAUGUUGAGAAGGAAGACUGGAAGUUAGAGACCCUGUGUGAUCUGUACGAAACUCUCACCAUCACCCAAGCUGUUAUCUUCUGUAACACCCGAAGGAAGGUGGAUUGGCUUACCGACAAAAUGCACCAGCGUGACUUCACAGUGUCUGCUAUGCACGGUGACAUGGACCAGAAGGAGCGUGACGUCAUCAUGCGCGAGUUCCGCUCUGGAUCAUCCCGUGUUCUGAUCACAACUGACUUAUUGGCCCGUGGUAUCGAUGUACAGCAGGUGUCCCUUGUCAUUAACUAUGACCUUCCUACAAACAGGGAAAACUACAUUCAUAGGAUUGGUCGUGGUGGACGAUUCGGUCGAAAGGGUGUAGCCAUUAAUUUUGUGACUGCUGACGACGCUAGAAUUCUCCAGGACAUUGAAGAACACUACCGAACCUCUAUUGAAGAGAUGCCCAUGAAUGUUGCGGAUUUGAUUUAAACUAGGUGAGAGACUAGCAACAAUAAGGCCUCAGUUAUUGUUGCUCCGACCUGCGCUGUGUUUUGACGCCAUUUGUGCACGCUGCCCCCAUUGAGAGCUGGCAUCGUGAUCUACUUGAGAGCUUGGACGCAUCUGAUCUGAGUCUUGUUACAGUGUCCGAGCCCUAUCUGAACAGUGUCUCCUGGGAUCCUCAUAUCAGCCUACCACUAGAGCUUGUGGUUCCAGGUGGACAUAUUAUAUUGCCUGUAUAUUGUGAAUAUUCAGGUGUUUUCCAUGGUUUCCAGAAGUAGCUAGUUUUAGUUAUAAGAGUCAAAGGGGCCUGAGCCCUUUUAUUUUUAAUUUGUGGAAAACUUUCAUACAUAAUUGUGAAUUUAGAUAAACUAGAGGGUUUAGGCAUCAGAACCGCUCCUAGGAAGCGGCGGCAGCCUGUCCACCCUCAGCCAACCUUCCUCUUCCCUCUUUUCUGUCUUCCUCUUCCACUUCUUCUUCUUCCUCAUUCUUUGCUCUUCUUUCGAUGCUAUAUAUAUCUCUCUGUUUUCAUGUCAUCCAUGAUGAUACCAGCCUUUUACAUAUUCCUUCGUCUUGUGUUUGCCUUAAGCAUGGGAAUUGAACACGGAUAUCAUUUUAAUUACACCUAUAGUAAGUCAGAGGUUAAAAUGAGUUUUUUCAGCAAUAUUGUCACUGUAUCCUGCAUCUCUUUUAUUUGUCAAAGAAAAAUAGUAUUAGGUAUAUGGCACGGAUAUUAUAUCCAGAAAAGGCGCCGGCGGAAAUCUUUGUUUAUGAUGUAUGGAACCUCUUGGUGUAUUUAUUAAUAAAACUUGUAAACACCACA